UGCGCCGCGGGCCUGGUGGGGAACAGCCCCUGUCCAGAGAAAGGGCCGGGAGCGCGGACACCACCGGGAGGGUCGGCCCCCUCCUCAGAAAACGGGUCAGGUAUGGGCACCGCCCCGGGGAACAGCCCGCUCCCCCCACUCCCUUCCCACAGGGACCCCCGGCCCCCGAGAAAGGGCUGGGCACAGGCACCAAGCCGGAGGCCGGGGCACUUAAGGACAGCGCGUAGAAAGAAGCAAAAUAAAUGUGGUUCCGAGUAGUCCCCGUCGAUAUCGUCCGGGAAGAACGAUUCGUGCCACAGGUGUGGAUGAAAAGGAGAGAAACCCGGGGGGCAGAAGAUGAUCCUGGGGUGAAGACAAGCCCUUGCCCUUCAUUAGUGCUCCCCACCAAAUACCCCCAAGCACUUCACAUACAUAAGGGCCUCAAUGUCUCUACGAGGACAGCUGGUGGGAUGAUCCCACUUCUACAGAUGGGGCAACCAAGAUAUAGGAUGUGCAAGGUCACCCAGGAAUCACCUGGCAGAGCUGGGCAAAAAACUCAGCUCUACUCACUGACUCCCACUUUGUCUUGCACCACACAGCAGGCCAGCUUUCCUCUGUAUAGGAGAGCAGACUGCAAAUCACACGCUAUUUUAUAAAGUGAUGUGAUGUUAAUAUUUCAAACAAAACCUCAAAGCAAUAAUGGGUCACAGACUGUAUGUGCAGGGGUCACAUGAAGGAAGACAGCUUUUUAUGCAGCUCUGGGGUGACCACAACUGAAAUAUUGUGUGGUCAGUUCUAGAUACUUUCUUAGUGAAUAGGAAUAUGAAGAAGAGUAACAGGAAUUAAGAAGCUGGAAGGACUUAUUUAUAGAGAAUUCAGACCCCAAUCCUACAAUGAGAACUGCGAAGAGAAUGGGACUCACACACACUAUUCAUUGCAGGGUUAGGGCCUAAACAUUAUUGUUAGUUCAGUGGUGUCCUAUUUUACUAAAAGGUUGUUGUUAUUCUUAUUUGGCUUAUGCAAUUUGGUCAAGCCAAGCCACAGUGUUCUUAUCAACGAUGUUCAAGGCACGAAGAAUUCAAGGAAGCUGCCAUUUGCAGUCCUCAACAAUAUGUCGUGGUUUGUGGCUGCCCACAUAGACAUAGUGGACUAUCUCUAAAAUGCCACCGAAAUUCUGCUGCUGUACAAAUUCCAUGUCCGGUACGAAACUGGUUCAGAAGGCUUGAUUUGUGUAAAUCAAACCUGGGCUGACGUUGAGUGGGAUCCAAGACAAGCCUCCCCUACUCUGUGACAAGCUAAACUUCAAUUCUGCAAUAGUCUGGCACAGCAAACUGGCAGUUUUACAAUAUCAUUUAAGUUAAAAAGAUUAAAGAUUUAGGGUGGGAUUGUCCCAAAAAAAGUGAAAAACUGGAAAAUCAGUGGAAACUGAGGUCCAGAUCCUCUGAAAGUACUUAACUUCCUUUG